AACACAUGAAAUACACUAAGGAUAGCGGAUGAGGUUAAAAGAAAAAAAGCAAAAAAAAAAAAAACAGUUCUCAUAAUGUUUUAAGAAAGUUCACGAACUUGUGUUGGGCCACAUCCAAAGCCGUCCUGGGCUGCAUGGGCCUGUGGGCCGUGGGCUGGACAAGCUUCUCUUAAUCCGAGGUAUCCCGCGCAGAGAUGGGGUCUUUCAGUUGCCCAGGGUGGAAUGCAGUGGCAAGAUCAUAUCCUUGAACUCCUGGACUCAAGCAGUCCUCCCACCUCAGCCUCCCAAGUAGCUAAGACUACAGGUAUGUGCCACCAUGCCCAGCUAGUUUUUUUUAUUUUUAUUUUUAGAGACAGGAUCUGGCUAUAUUGCCCAGGCUCAUCUUGAACUCCUGGCCUCAAGCAAUCUUCCCACCUUGGUCCCCACAAAGUGCUGGGAUUAUAGGCAUGAGGCCACCACUCCUGAUCCACAACUAUAAUUUCUAAUUUAUAGAUGAGGGAACUGGGAUUUAGAAAGUUAAGUGACAUCCAGGUUCUUAACCAUUAUGUGCAUUGUCUCCCAGGUAUCUCUGAGUAAGUGAAAAAGUAAAAUUUCCUCCUCUCAGUACUCUUAUCUGAUACUUUCAAGCAGCCCAACACCCAGUAAAAGUGACAUGUCUAAUCCAGAAGUACUGGUUUUGGAGUAGGCAACAUAUACAAAGAGGCAAAUAUCCAUGUGAGGUGCCAUCCCAGGCUAUCACAAUCUUUGGAUUUACCCUAUCUUUAAUAGUGCCUGAAGGGGUUCUUUUAACUUCAACCUUUGUAAUAAAAUACAAUGAUGUAAUUGGGAAUGAGUGAACUCCAUAGUAAACUCUAUGAUUAAAAAAAUAGUUAAUAUGUGUAUAUAUAAAUAUGCAAAGUACAAAUAAUACAGAGUGUGGUUUUCAUGUUAAUCUCAAUUACUUCUCACUGGGGAACUGGUGAAGCCUUCAUCAAAGAUGAUUAAGAGCAAUAAUACUGUUCUAAUACUGUCCAGAUCUUUCUUUCUUUUCAUCCAGAUGAUUCUGUAAGGUCUAUUGAUAGUGUGUGUGUGUGUGUGUGUGUGUGUAUAUGUGGGUGUGUGUGAUUCAUGUCAAUCUGUAUUUGAUGCUAGUUUAUAUUGGUUUCUUAUGUCAAGAAUAACAAACUAAUAGGAAGGAAUUUUAAUUCUGCUUACAAUUGUUCUAAGUUCAUUUAUCAAUUGGCAAUUAGCAGAAGAGGUAGUGUCAGAUUGGGGAAGACAGCACUGAAUGUUUUAUGCCUGAGGGGCCAAAUUGAGAUGGUGGUGGCAAGAAGGAGUGGGGCUGGUUAGUAGUUAGGUUAGUCAUGAAGGCACACAGUAACUGGAGGAAGAAGGAAGGAACAGGAUGGAGAAAGAGAGAGUGCUGGAGGUAAACUGCCUUUCUCACAAUUUGGUCUAUAGCCAGCCUUGCUCUUUUUGCCUG
rnacentral:lncRNA from 10 species